rnacentral:rRNA from 1 species
AGGACGAACGCUGGCGGCGUGCCUAACACAUGCAAGUCGAACGGGGUCAAAAGCUUGCUUUUGACUUAGUGGCGGACGGGUGAGUAACGCGUGAGUAACCUGCCUCUGAGAGGGGAAUAACGUUCUGAAAAGAACGCUAAUACCGCAUAACGUAUCGAAGCCGCAUGACUUUGAUACCAAAGAUUUUAUCGCUCGGAGAUGGACUCGCGUCCGAUUAGUUAGUUGGUGAGGUAACGGCUCACCAAGACCGCGAUCGGUAGCCGGACUGAGAGGUUGAUCGGCCACAUUGGGACUGAGACACGGCCCAGACUCCUACGGGAGGCAGCAGUGGGGGAUAUUGCGCAAUGGGGGCAACCCUGAACCGCAGCAACGCCGCGUGAAGGCUGAAGGUUUUCGGAUUGUAAACUUCUUUUAUCAGGGACGAAGCUUGACGGUACCUGAUGAAUAAGCUCCGGCUAACUACGUGCCAGCCGCAGC